AUUGAACGCUGGCGGCAUGCUUUACACAUGCAAGUCGGACGAUUGGCGAACGGGUGAGUAACAUAUCGGAACGUACCGAGUAAUGGGGGAUCACUAAUCGAAAGAUGAGCUAAUACCGCAUAUUAUUAGAUCGGCCGAUAUCUGAGUAGCUGGGUGGUGGGGUAAAGGCCUACCAAGGCUACGAUCAGUAGCGGGUCUGAGAGGAUCAGCCGUCACACUGGGACUGAGACACGGACCCGACUCCUACGGGAGGCAGCAGUGGGGAAUUUUGGACAUUGGGCGCAAGCCGGAUCCAGCCAGGCCGCGUGUCUGAAGAAGGCCUUCGGGUUGUAAAGGACUUUUGUCAGGGAAGCGUUACCUGAAUAAUAAGCACCGGCUAACUACGUGCCAGCAGCCGCGGUAAUAC
rnacentral:rRNA from 1 species